UGUGUUGAUAAACAUAUGGCGAGCAAAACCACUCCUAGUUGAACAUUCGUCAUUUUGCACAUUUGUUUUUUUCUUUGUAACCUGGCCAGAUGGUUUACGAUGCUCUCAGAUGCUGCUUCUCUCUAAUGUGGAGGCUGGAUCAGACGGACCUUUUUAUACCAGCUGCAGAGGAACCUAAAGGGACAACGCUCCCUGCAGAGGCACCAGAUGUGCGCUGUUAUGGAGAGUGGGGGGGGGCAUCAGAUAAGCCCUGUUCCCAAAGCCGGGACGGAUCGAGUAUCAUCAUCGGGGGCGAAACCCAAGCCCUGCGCAGUGGGUCGGAUUUCUGUUUACACGAGCGUGGUCCCUGGAUUCCUCAAACCAGAGCAGACCAGAGAGCUCGGCGACACCGUGAGGUCUGCGAGACAGACGCUUUCAAUGAUGCAGAAAAGCAAUGGAAACCCACCUUCCUGCUGUAGGCCAUACUGCAUACUGUUAACAUGUUAAUAAUGGACAAAAUGAGGAGAAUUGUAGUAAAAGUUAUAAAAUAAAAGUUGUUACGGC
ensembl:lncRNA